rnacentral:lncRNA from 1 species
AUUUACUAAAAAAUUUUAAAAUCAACAUUUUAGUUACCAAAUUCAAUAAGUAUUAUGGUCAUAAAGGGAUCUUUGUAUCUCUUAUUAAAAAUUUAAAGAUCUCCAUAACCAUUUUCCUGAAUUUUGAGGGUGUAACUAUCUUUUUCAGUUUAAUUAAUUAUACUCUGAAACUAUAUUUGUCUUUUAAACAAAAUACAUGUAGUUGAGUUGCCUCUGACUGAACAUUAAAGUAUAAUGCACUGCCUUAGUCACUUAGCUAGAAAAAUAAUUUCCCCCUCUUUGUACCUUAUUCUUAGCCUUAGACAUGCGUAAGUGGAGCUUAUUAUUAAACUUUGAGGAACUUUUGAAAGAAAAAUAUUGAAGUUAGGUUCAUCGGCAUCUCAAUGCGCAACUUUUCAGCCAAAAUGUCGUAAGAUAUUGAAAUAUUUUAUGAUUGAAUUAAGAGAAUAUAAUUUGGCAUCAUAAACACUGAGACCCACCAAAGAUUUCAUUCCAGCACCUGAUAUAGUGGGAUGCUUAAGAUUCUUCAAAAGACAAAUGUAACAGAGAAAUAAAAUGAUUUAAAUACGCACAUAAAUAUUAUUAUUUUAUUUUAAAAUAAGUAACAAUAAAAAAUUAGAAGUCUGCUUGGAGGAUUAUAGAAGUGCUAGUCCACUGAUCCUUCUAUAUAUGUCAUUGAACUGAUCUCUUAUAUAUUAUAAUUUUUUCCUUGAAAUUUGGUAUUUGUUUUGGAGCUUAUAACGAGUUUGAAAGUCGAAAUUUGCAUUGCUGUUAAUACUAAAUUAUUCCAAUCAAUAUGUAGAUUAUGAUAGUGCCUUGUAAAGCCGUGACAUAUAGGAUAUAGCAUUGCUUGUAAACUACUCUUUCGAUGAAGGGUGUAGCACUGGUUAUUAGUGAUCACAAUGUCCAUGAAAUAAGAGAGCAAUAAUCACCCAUAUACAAAGAGUAACAGGUUGUUUUCAAACAUUAAUCAAAGAGUGGACUUAUUUACACUCUAAAUAAUAUAAAUUCUAAUUCUAAUAAAAUUUAAUAUUACUAACACAUCCCUAAAGUAAUUUACUGCAAAAUACAACUUAGUUUAAUUAAACCAAAUGCAAUUAUUCUUUACAUUUAACACACAUGUAACAUAAACCGUGGCUUAUCUUGAUAAAAUGGAAAUAUUAAAAGCAAUCAACUCAAUAAUUCAAUAAUAAAUCUAAAAGAUUUCAAAUUAGUUUUCUAUAUAAAAAAAAAAAAUUAGAAACAAAAAGUAAACACUGUGAAACAAUCACCCAUAAUAUCUAAUGACUCUAGUGGCUCCAAAGGAUUCAGCUAAGAACAAGCAAGAACAAAGAACUUUUUCCCAUCUUUUCGCCUCCUCUCUUUAGUUCUAAGAAUGCUAGUUUCAAGAAGAGUAAUUGCCAUCCUCCAAUCCUUAUUUGCCAUCUUAAGAUUGGAUAAUAAAUACGUUCCACUUAUAUUUAAGCAUGGCUUUUUUAGUAAGUUCGCAGCCUCCAGAACAUUGUUCAAUCAUCAUAUUUAUAACUUCUCUCGAUAAAUAACAUGUCAAAUAUCAUAUUUUGAUAUGCAAACUAUAUAUCCCACUGUGAAAGUGGGAAAAUAAAAAAUGACAGAACAUUGUUCAAUCAUCAUAUUUAGAUACAUUAAUCUAGUAGCACUCUGGAUUUGAUAACACAUCAAACUAUUAACAAUGCUUUCUGUUUCAUUUACAACAUUUGCCUGGCUUUCAUCAGCAGGCCCACAUCAUACUGCUGUAAAUGGCCAAGCCGAAAGCCCAUGGGAUCAUACGCACCAUAGGAGUUGGACUAUUGGCAUCUUUUCGAAACUCUCUACCAACCCCUUUUCUUUAAUCAGCCCAUUAAAAUAUUUAAAAACACUACAAUUUCUCAUAACACUUUCAUUAAUGAUUAAAAAAAUAACCUUAAUGAUGGCUAUUCCUCCUUGAACACCAUUUCAACAUUUUUUUUUCUUCAACUUUCUCAUAAUUACAAUCGAACAUAAUAAAAAAAAUUGUUCACAAAUAAUAAUGAAAAACAAUUAAAGAAAAACUUACCUUUUUUUUUUUAUCAAUCCUUCUGCUUGCAUGAUAAUUUUCUCCUCAAUUUCAAAUUCUUAAAAAAGAUAAAUGUUGCUAAGAUAGGACUUAUGACAUGCGGGUGUAAAAAAAUUUCAAGAAAAAAAUAUACAAAUAAUAUGUGGAUGGAGAGAAUUUUAGCAGAAGAAAUUAAUUCUAUCUUAUAACUGGGUUUUUGCUAAAAAAAAAGUGGGUUUCAUUAGACUUUUCUUUUUUUAAUCAUUUCAUGUACUUUUAAUGGAGGUCAAAGUAAUAAAAUACUUAAAAGAGUUUUAAGAGAUUUUUGGAGGAGUGCAAUAGUUUAACUCGCAUUAUAAAAUUCUUAAUCAGUGGAGUUUUUAACAUCCCUUUCAAAUCUUUAUAACACCUCUUUUGAAUUUUGGUUUUUAAAAUAAGCCCAGUUAUAAAAUACAAAUUUAUAUAUUAAAAUUAACUAUAUUUUCAUAAGGUUUCAUCCUAAAGAAAAUAUUUCUUUAGUUUUCAUUUAUAAAAUACAUACAAAUCCUAAAAUCUUAAUUUAUUUUUCAUUUUAUCACACAGUUUCUAUUUUCAUAACUAUAAACUCUUAUAAUUUUCUCAAAAAAU